CAAAACUAUAUGAAAGGGUAU
rnacentral:siRNA from 1 species